CUUCAGAUAACAAGUGAUAAGAGGUAAUGGCGGUAAAAGGUCAUUUUCAUUGUCAGCCUAGCUAAACAUAGACUUCUUCUCGGAUAUCCAAAAGCGUGUGGCAGAAGUUUCGCGCUCUAUCAUGAUGCUCAGAUUCUUGCGAUUCUCAAGAACUCACUCUCCAUUCUUUCACAAGAUGACAAUAUCUAGAAAUGCUUACAAUACCUUCAAAUCUCUCUUACAGAUGGCGGAGAUAAGAAAUUCAAUUGGCUGGUGAAUGGCAACUAACUAUACAUGAGAUCCCUGAUUCGAUUCAAGAAGGGAAUACAAACUUCUGGUGAAACAGAAUCACGGCCUCAAAACCAAGCAGAGAGGCUAGUGCCAAAAUGAGACUUUGGCUCUGUCUCCCUUGUGUGGAUUGGUAAUCCCCCCAGUCUGAAUUGUUCUACACCCGACCUUUCAGAGUUGACUACCACGCUCUGUUGGGCAAUACCUUAACCAACAUUACAAAUGGGAUUGUAGCUAGAAGUUUUGUUAGUUAAAGAACAAAGAAGCUGUGGAUUGUUCAUCACGAACCAGUAUACUUAAAAACAGAACUUCAGCAUCCUAGAUUGCUAUUAUCAGAAAUAAAGUUAUUUUUAUUUUUA